ACGGCGAAUGCCGGCGGGAUUACGUGGACCUUCAGGGUCGCCGGUUCGAAUCCGGCCGGGCAUCUGCCCGUAGCUCAGCUGUUAGAGCAUGAGGCACAUCUCGCCACCACCUCGUCGCCGUGCC
rnacentral:Y_RNA from 1 species